rnacentral:lncRNA from 1 species
CCUUUACCCAACGGGCGUCCAGAGAAGAGGCCGUGCGUACGACUCGCUGACACCUCCCAUUUCACCUUCCUGGCAUGGAAAUUGCGAGAGCGAGAGAUUCUUGCUCCCGGUGUCGCUUUUUAUCAGACCUCUUGAUGGUUUCUCUGAUGUACCCCUGCGUCCUUGAACCCUCAUAUUGCCCACCCCCCCAGUACUCCUGGGCUGAGACCAAAACGCAAGCCACUGAAAUAGUCACGUAAUUAUGACACCAACGGUUUCCUAUUAUUACUGGAAUGAGAUCUGAAGCCCCACUGCCUGGAAUCCAAUCCUGUCUUCACCACACCUUUUGAUAUCCCAGGAAAGUUAUUUCACCUCGCUGUGCCUCAGUUCCCUCAUUUGUAAAGUACAGAAAAUGUCACAGUAGUGCCUAUUUCAUAGAAAAUUAGAUGAGAUAGUGCAUAUGACUCCCUUAGCAAAAUUUCAAGCCUAGAGUAAGCAUUUACUAAAAAGUACUGGCUGUUAUUAUUCACCCCAGUAUUUCUAGUACUUAACCACAGUGCCAGCACGCAGUGGACAGUAAAUAUUAGUGGAAUUAAUGAAUAUUAGAACUACAGCUGAGGAACCAGGCCUAAAAAGGAUAAGGAAAUUUCAAAAGUCCACACAGCAAGUUAAUGGCAGAGGUGGGACUGGAAUCCAGGUCUCUUUUUUUUUUUUUUUUGAGACGGAGUUUCACUCUUGUUGCCCAGGCUGGAGUGCAAUGGCACGAUCUCGGCUCACUGCAACCUCUGCCUCCCGGGUUCAAGCGAUUCUUCUACCUCAGCCUCCCUAGCAG